AUACGAAGGGGGCAAGCGUUGUUCGGAAUAACUGGGCGUAAAGCGCACGUAGGCGGAAUGUUAAGUUAGAGGUGAAAUCCCAGGGCUCAACCCUGGAACGGCCUUUAAUCCUGGCAAUCUAGAGACCGAGAGAGGUGAGUGGAAUUCCGAGUGUAGAGGUGAAAUUCGUAGAUAUUCGGAGGAACACCAGUGGCGAAGGCGGCUCACUGGCUCGGUACUGACGCUGAGGUGCGAAAGCGUGGGGAGCAAACAGGAUUAGAUACCCUAGUAGUCC
rnacentral:rRNA from 1 species